rnacentral:rRNA from 1 species
UACAGAGGGGGCAAGCGUUGUUCGGAAUUACUGGGCGUAAAGGGCGCGUAGGCGGCCUUCUAAGUCGAACGUGAAAUCCCUGGGCUCAACCCAGGAACUGCGUCCGAUACUGGGAGGCUUGAAUCCGGGAGAGGGAUGCGGAAUUCCAGGUGUAGCGGUGAAAUGCGUAGAUAUCAAGAGGAACACCAGUGGCGAAGGCGAGUCCCUGGACAAUUCCUGACACUGAGGCACGAAAGCCGGGGGAGCAAACAGG